rnacentral:rRNA from 1 species
UAAGCGUACACGGUGGAUGCCCUGGCAGUCAGAGGCGAUGAAGGGCGUGCUAAUCUGCGAUAAGCGCCGGUAAGGUGAUAUGAACCGUUAUAACCGGCGAUACCCGAAUGGGGAAACCCAGUGUGAUUCGUCACACUAUCAUUAACUGAAUCCAUAGGUUAAUGAGGCGAACCGGGGGAACUGAAACAUCUAAGUACCCCGAGGAAAAGAAAUCAACCGAGAUUCCCCCAGUAGCGGCGAGCGAACGGGGAGGAGCCCAGAGCCUGAAUCAGCAUGUGUGUUAGUGGAAGCGUCUGGAAAGGCGCGCGAUACAGGGUGACAGCCCCGUACACAAAAGCGCAUGUGCUGUGAGCUCGAUGAGUAGGGCGGGACACGUGGUAUCCUGUCUGAAUAUGGGGGGACCAUCCUCCAAGGCUAAAUACUCCUGACUGACCGAUAGUGAACCAGUACCGUGAGGGAAAGGCGAAAAGAACCCCGGCGAGGGGAGUGAAAAAGAACCUGAAACCGUGUACGUACAAGCAGUGGGAGCACAGGUUUACCUGUGUGACUGCGUACCUUUUGUAUAAUGGGUCAGCGACUUAUAUUCUGUAGCAAGGUUAACCGAAUAGGGGAGC